AUGGCUUGGGAGCAGUUGGCCCUCGACACCGCUUCCUACGUAGUGAAGCCAUCACUCGACCCACUAUCGGGCUCGUGGGUCGUGUGGCUCCAGGGCAUAUGUUACGUUUGUCCCAGCUCUACACAUCAAAACCGGAUAUCUCAGGAUGUCCCCCCAUUUCUGCCUUUGGUGCUACCUUUUCUCGACCGAGUUGCCCCGCAAUUGGUAGACGCUAGACGCCCUGGCGAGGGUGACCCAAAUCGGAUGUGCGACCAUCCAUAUGCGUGGGGCACAAUCCAGGGGAAUUACCUCCGCGCCGAGCGUGGCUCCUCUCAUGGCCAGGCGGCUACCGCUACUCAGGAUGACCGCCGAGGCUCCAUCAGAGGCACUUGGCUAAGCGCCCCACCCCCUAGUGACGCAGAGAUUGCUCGUUGGCUCACGAAAGCCAUGGAAAUUCGUAAAGGCACAGACGGGGUCAUCAUCCCAUACGUCUUCCCAAUUCAUAAUGGAGAAGGAGGCGGCUUGCGUGUGGGUGGAGCAAUAGCAGAGGGACAAAAAGACAGGGUGGAGAAGCCACGACGGAGGGCUGAGCAUCAGAUGCGCAGCCGUGGCACCGAGACCUUCUCGAUCGACGAGGAUGGAGACGACGAUGAUGAUGCGAACGCAGGCUCCGAGCUUUGGGCCAUUCCUAAUGCCUCCCUUGAUGCCUCAACGGUUGAUCCCGUCCCAACUUUACCUGUGGUCCCGGCUGACACACCUCUAGGGCCGCCCGUGCUUGCAACCAAAGCGGGUGAUGGGACCAACGCUUUGCCCGAGUGCCAUGAAGGCGAGGUGCCUUUCAGAGGGCAAAGGGAGUUGAAUGAGGAGAGCGAUGCAACUGAGAAGGUGUUGCGGGACGGCCUUGAUCGGCUUUCAACCAUGCGCCAAAGUCUAGCGUCGCUCACAAGGUCGCUAGCGAGCAGAUUCUGCCUUCUUCUUGACCAAAGGGAAGCGUGGGAGCAUUCCGUCAGUGAUCUUCCAGUAGCAAAAAGUGGGACCAUCGAUGCCCGCGCCAGUGCCGCGUUGAUCCAAAAUGCCUACGGCGCCCUAGUCGGAGCAGCGAGGAGUGAUGCGGAUUCGAUGACCCUUGCACGUGUUCAGAGCACGAAAGCGAGCUCUCACCUUCGUAUUCUGGAGCGAGGGAAAGAGGUCGUCGAGGCCCAAGUCGCGGUCUUGGAGGAGGAGCUGGGCAGUCAGACCAAGAAGGAGGAGAAAUUCCUACCCUACAUGCAAGAUAACACCUUUUAUUAGUCUCUUCUGAAGCUAGGGUCCGUUGCCUACUUCCUCCCUCUGAUUGCUCAUGUCUUCUCUGGUCAACCAUACAAGGGAAAUUUGACGCCACCGAGGGGAACUUCGUCAAGGUGCAAAGCCGCCUGGAGGAGCUAGAUAAGGAGAGGCAUCUCCUAUCGGAGGUGGUGAGCACCAUGUGUGUGCACUUCGGAGCACCUCCUUCGUCGGAGUCUGAAUCGCUCAUCUUGAGGGCCUCGCUAGCCUAGAGGAGCUUGAGAAGGAAUCCUUCUGCCAAGGGAUCUACCAGGUCUUCGCUGUCGUAACGUCUCACUACAAAGGGGGAUCGAGUUGGAGGACCUAAGCAAGCACUACUACGAUGCCUGGAGUGAUUCGAAUUUUGCUGGCAUGAUGAAGGCCGUGGAGCCUUUCGCUCGAAAGCUAGGAGCCGCCCUGCUUGGAAACACCCCACCUAGGGGGUUAAGGUGGAAGGGUACCAUUGUAAUGGCUGUGGAACAAAAAAGGGGGGGUUCCUUUCUUAUAGCAACUUAUCCAACUUCUCGUGAACUUCUGUGCUUACUAGAGCCUUGAGAGCGCUUUUCUUAAACAAGCCUAUAGCUAAAAAGAAGGCUUGCCACUUGAGUUGCGUUCGUUGAUGUAACACCCAAAACCCUGUGCUAGGUAUUAUAAAUGUCUCUCUAAAAGAUUUGAGAUAAAA
rnacentral:lncRNA from 1 species